UUCUUAUCUUUAUAUCUCUUCAAGAUUCUUCCUUGAAUUUUCUUGUUUAUAUAACAAUUCUUACUUUAAGAAUUUCUAGCUUCAUUUACAUUGCUCAACAUUUCCUUUGAGUUCCACAUUUUCAUCAUACGUAUCCACUUUCUAUACUUAGUACACAUCGAGUCUCUAAUAGUUUCAAUAUGGUACGCUGAGUGGUUUCCCACAAAUAACCAACAAACUAGGUUCCGAGUUGCUAGUUCGUAUAUACCUCCGCUCUAUGAAGGAAUCGUUUAGCCCAG
rnacentral:lncRNA from 1 species